AUGGAAACAUAGGGGUCAGUUCGGCUGGAUCGGUGACAGGUGCUGCAUGGCUGUCGUCAGCUCGUGUCGUGAGAUGUUGGGUUAAGUCCCCGCAACGAGCGCAACCCUUGUCCUUAGUUGCCAGCAUUCAGUUGGGCACUCUAAGGAGACUGCCGGUGUCAAACCGGAGGAAGGUGGGGAUGACGUCAAGUCCUCAUGGCCUUAUGUCCAGGGCUACACACGUGCUACAAUGGCCGGUACAAAGGGGCGCAAGACCGCGAGGUGGAGCAAAUCCCAAAAACCGGUCUCAGUUCGGAUUGGAGUCUGCAACUCGACUCCAUGAAGUUGGAAUCGCUAGUAAUCGCGUAUCAGCAUGACGCGGUGAAUACGUUCCCGGGCCUU
rnacentral:rRNA from 1 species